ensembl:processed_transcript Gm13648 predicted gene 13648
CUGAGAGCAGUUUCUUUCCUCCUCAUUGUCCCCGAGUUGUCGACCUGUGCCAGUUCACUGUGCACCUUAGUUUUCUUUGUGUUUGAGACUCACCUGGAGGGGAAACAGUCAUUCUUUCCUGUGACACCCCAGCUACAACGCCUGAGGCUGAAUCCUGGCUGAGGGAAAAGUUUGGGUUGAUGCCAAAGCUGGUCGUCCAGCCCUAUCCACCACUGCUGACAGGUAUCAAAUCAAACUGUCCAGAUGGGGAGGCCCUUGUACAAUGCACUGCCUGCUGAUGGAUGUCUUACCAGACAUGGUUAGAUCUGGAUGCAUCUGUCUAAUACUGUCUGGUAAUGCCGUCCAUCCACGGCCUUAUCACCGCUGGAGACGACAUCCUCACCACCUCAUGGACACUGGGUAGAGACAAGACCUUAGUCCAUCUGUCACAACUGUCCAAAGCUGGGGCCAUCAAGCCCUCUAUCCAAACAGACCACAGUUUAAAUCUACAGGCCACCCCCCACCCCCCCGAGCCUGACUGCCUUCCUCUGACCCUGUAAUAGCUUUCUGUUAUAGCCAUAGCAGAUUGAGGCCUCUGUAUCUGUCCUUUUCAGGAAUAGUCAGUGGGGCUGUCACGGUCCUAUUGCCCCCCAUAGCCCACUGGGCUCCACACAGAGGGACUUCAAUCUGUAGUCAGCUGUCACCUGCAGAUUCUGUAGCCCCAGUGCUAUCAACACUGGUAUGGGACAAGAGGAGAUCUAAAACCUUGGUCUUAAGUCUCCUCUCCAAAAUGCUCAGGUCAUGGAACCAAGGAGAGUAAAAGCAGGUCUAACCAUUGUGCCCAAACCCAGAGUGGAAAAUAGGUAUAUGGGUUUCAGGGGCAGCAGUGCUGCCAAGGUGCCAGACCAGGUGAGAGUGACUGGUUCCCAGGAAUAUGCAGAAGGCUGCACGGCUCUGCACUGUCAGCCUGCUCAUGGUCUUUCUAUGCAUCCCAUCUCUGGCUCUUAGGAUCAGAGAGUGUCUUUCAGUCUAACUCUGGAUGCUGAAUAGCCCAAUCUUAAAGACCCCACCCAUCACCCCCAUGUCCCCAUGUCUGAGAAUUUUCAAAAGGCUGUUUCUAAAACUGUUGCUCUAGAAUGAUUCCCAAUGCUUACAUCAUUUGCUAUAUGAGGAGUUUGAGUUUUGCUGUGAUAAGAACUAGAAGUGAACCUCUUAGACCUCAUAUGCAAGCUGCUUACUUCAAUACCUAGACUUCUGCAAACCUCAAGUUGGCCAAUACAGCCUGAGUCCAGCAGAGCCAAGCCCUACCUCACACACUACCCUCUUGAACGAACCCAACAUGCCCUGACAGAUUUCUUAGUCCUGGACAGGCCAUUCCCUCCAAAGAACCAUUAUAGGGAGACUGGACUCCACCUCCCAAAGAAACCUGCUGUGCUCCAAGUUCUGUGUGGUUGAGGAACUUGUCUGCCCAUUGUGUGCUCUAUAAUAGGUGGUCCCCUUUCUGUCAUCUCUUCAAGCAUUGUAAAUAAAAUGCAGGCAAAAAAAAAAUCUUUGUAAGGCAAUAAAUUGUGUGAUUUCUGAAA